UACAGAGGGUGCAAGCGUUGUUCGGAAUUAUUGGGCGUAAAGGGCGCGUAGGCGGUGCCACAAGUCACCUGUGAAAUCUCCGGGCUUAACUCGGAGCCUGCAGGCGAAACUGUGGUGCUGGAGUGUGGGAGAGGUGCGUGGAAUUCCCGGUGUAGCGGUGAAAUGCGUAGAUAUUGGGAGGAACACCAGUGGCGAAGGCGGCUCACUGGACCGGAACUGACGCUGAGGCGCGAAAGCGUGGGGAGCAAACGGG
rnacentral:rRNA from 1 species